UGGGGAAUAUUGCACAAUGGGCGCAAGCCUGAUGCAGCCAUGCCGCGUGUAUGAAGAAGGCCUUCGGGUUGUAAAGUACUUUCAGCGGGGAGGAAGGCGAUAAGGUUAAUAACCUUGUCGAUUGACGUUACCCGCAGAAGAAGCACCGGCUAACUCCGUGCCACCAGCCGCGGUAAUACGGAGGGUGCAAGCGUUAAUCGGAAUUACUGGGCGUAAAGCGCACGCAGGCGGUCUGUCAAGUCGGAUGUGAAAUCCCCGGGCUCAACCUGGGAACUGCAUUCGAAACUGGCAGGCUAGAGUCUUGUAGAGGGGGGUAGAAUUCCAGGUGUAGCGGUGAAAUGCGUAGAGAUCUGGAGGAAUACCGGUGGCGAAGGCGGCCCCCUGGACAAAGACUGACGCUCAGGUGCGAAAGCGUGGGGAGCAAACA
rnacentral:rRNA from 1 species